rnacentral:rRNA from 1 species
AACUUUUCCAACCAAACGGAUCCUCCUUGGCCCUUCUCCGGCAUUUCGAAUUGAANGAAAACCGACAAGGCCGAAAAAAUGGNCGAAAUUAAAGGUUAAAAUUGGUUGGAAAAUUUGGGCCCGAAAAAUUUCCAAGGGUGGGAAAAUU